GGGAAAUUAGCUCAGCUGGCUAGAGCGCACGAUUCACAUUCGUGAGGUCACAGGUUCAAGCCCUGUAUUUCCCACCA
rnacentral:tRNA from 2 species